CUCCCCACCCCGUGUUACUAUAGGGUCGCCCAAUGUUAUUGUAGGGUCACCCCCAUCCCUGUAGGGUCACCGCCCCCCGCCCCCCCCCCCCCGUGCCUCAGUUUCCCCGGGCGGGAGCUGCCGCGGUUGCCAACACCUUUAUUGGGGCCGCCCCGGCCGCUUGGGGGGUGCCCCCACACGGCUGGGGGGGGGGGGGGUGACACGAGCGUCCCCAGGGCCAGGCGCCCCCACGGGGACGGCCACCCCCAUCCCGUCCCCGUCCCACGGGGACACCGCAGGUCCAGCGCCGCGCCGCGUCCCACGAGGCCUCGUCCUCGUCCUCCAUCCUCAUCAGGGCGUUAAUUACAGGCUAACGAGCGGGGGCUGGCCGGGAGGGGAUGUCCCCAUACGGGGGGGACGUCCCACCACGGGGGGGACGUCACCG